CAAGCCGGACAGGCCCCAUAGGUGAGUCUCUAGUGCCCAGAAGAUCUGAGACAACCAGCUCAACUUCCCCAACUGAGAGCUCGCGCAAGAGAGACGAAGGAGGGCGGGCACCUGCUAUCAAUCUGACAGGCAUGUAACCAGCAUUCUCACAAUGGGCUGGUUGCUCCUAAUGGAUCCUGUCUAUUUGUGCCAUGGGAAUACGUAUGCACUGCAGAUGGCAAGACAGUUAGGGGCUGUUGGAGAUGUGGUCCCUCCUACAUACAGGGCACCCUCUCUACAGCGAUGCAUGGGAGAAAUCUCUCCAAGGUCUCAGCAACAGAAAAAUCAAGUUUCUCCAGAGCUACCCCAGUCCCCAAGAAAUGUGUGGACAUAAAAUCCUAUGACAAGUAAA